ACAAUCUACUCCUUUAGACUAAUGAAACUACUAGGUAUGUCUACCAAUUUGGUGGUAACCUACGACGAACAUCUGGUUUCAAACUGUUGCUUUGCUCAGAUCUGGACUACUGGACGCUCCAUGUACUUCCAUUCCGAGCCCAAGGGGACUGUGUUUCUCAGCGAAAGCUACAGACAGUUGCACAUAAGGUCCAUGCAAACUCUAAGGCUACUGUCUGCAAGAAGAUGAGAGUGUAAAAUGCUAGCUUCUCUCAGCCAAAACGGCAAACUCCAGAUUGCGCGUUUGCCUUCAAGAAAAGAAUGGGCAUAACAUCUGGCUCGAUUCUGGGAGCCCAUCCGCUUCCACCCCAUCCCCAAAUGUUUAUACCCUCACUGCCUGAUCAAGAGGGCUGGUAGCUCGCCUCGCUUCUAAACUUUUAGCGUUUUGGCAUUAUCAAAGUGCGGACUUUGCCUUCUCUGGAUGAAUCCCACCUUCCUUCGAAACUUCCCAGGCGGCAAAGAAACGCCGGCUUAAAUCCCGAUGUCUUUCAGAGACUCACUGACUUCUUUUCGACUUAAUUCAAAAGUCACUCGACUCCUCCCCUCCCUCUUCUCUCUCCGGCCCGCGUUCCUUCCGGCUUGGCGGCCAAUCGAUGGCCACCGAGACGCCGAUUGGUCUCAGCGCGGUCCCCCGAAGGGGCGGGACCUCGGAAAGCUUUUUUAAGCCGGGAGCAGGGCCGCCUCGGCCGGCGAGGGAGUGCCUUUCGUGGUUGGUGGACUUCACGUGGCGGCAUUGCAUUGCAUGUCGCUGUAUUGCACCGGUGUUCACUGGACCGAAAUGUCUGUGGGUUUCCUUGGAAUACUAGACAUCAGCUGAGCGAAUCCAGCAGGUCCUUCACUUCUUAAGUAAGCAUGACUCAGUGAUUAGGAGGAGCUUUGUUGGGCUGCGAUUUACCCUGGUCUUGCACUCAGUCUGCCGAGUUUCAUGGCUGCAAUUAACUCCUAUCACAAUUUGUUGCUGGGCUGGAUUUGGUGUAGCUAAAUAUUUUUCCCAUCUCCCCUCUUUCAAUCUCGGGUCACCAUGGGGGAGAAAAGUUAGGUUAUAAGUCUGCAGUUCUUUUCUCUAUGACAGUGGUCCCCAACCUUGGGCCUCCAGAUGUUCUUGGACUACAACCCCCAGAAGCCUUCACCACCACCUCUGCUGGCCAGGAUUUUUGGGAGUUGAAGUCCAAGAACAUCUGGAGGCCCAAGGUUGGGGACCACUGCAGUAGACCACUGCUGUCACUGUUGUCUAAGUAAGAUCAUCCUGGUCCACAACACUUUUUUCAUCUUCUGAGGCUUCAGUGAAGGGAAAGGUAUCAUAUGAUUAUGGGUCCUGAUGUCAUGGGAGCAGUGGGAGGGGAACCCUCUCAUGGUUGACUUAGCCUUCUCUCUGUAUUGCCAGUAAUGAUCAGGGAUGAUGACUUGAGUAGUGGGACUCAUUCUCCUGUUACACCAGUAAAUCAACUCGGACUUG
rnacentral:lncRNA from 1 species